GUGUUAAUAAAUUUGGUGAAUCACGGUGAAAUUCCGUGGGAGUGCCGCUACUGUAAACCCAGAACCCACUAAAAC
rnacentral:ncRNA from 2 species